rnacentral:rRNA from 1 species
AACGAACACUGGCGGCAGGCUUAACACAUGCAAGUCGAACGCCCCGCAAGGGGAGUGGCAGACGGGUGAGUAACGCGUGGGAAUCUACCGUACCCUACGGAACAACAGUUGGAAACGACUGCUAAUACCGUAUACGCCCUACGGGGGAAAGAUUUAUCGGGGUAUGAUGAGCCCGCGUUGGAUUAGCUAGUUGGUGGGGUAAAGGCCUACCAAGGCGACGAUCCAUAGCUGGUCUGAGAGGAUGAUCAGCCACAUUGGGACUGAGACACGGCCCAAACUCCUACGGGAGGCAGCAGUGGGGAAUAUUGGACAAUGGGCGCAAGCCUGAUCCAGCCAUGCCGCGUGAGUGAUGAAGGUCUUAGGAUUGUAAAGCUCUUUCACCGAUGAAGAUAAUGACGGCAGUCGGAGAAGAAGCCCCGGCUAACUUCGUGCCAGCCGCCGCGGUAA